rnacentral:rRNA from 1 species
AUUGAACACUGGCGGCAUGCCUUACACAUGCAAGUCGAACGGCAGCACGGGAGCAAUCCUGGUGGCGAGUGGCGAACGGGUGAGUAAUAUAUCGGAACGUGCCCAGUCGUGGGGGAUAACGCAGCGAAAGCUGUGCUAAUACCGCAUACGAUCUACGGGUGAAAGCGGGGGAUCGCAAGACCUCGCGCGAUUGGAGCGGCCGAUAUCAGAUUAGCUAGUUGGUGGGGUAAAGGCCCACCAAGGCGACGAUCUGUAGCUGGUCUGAGAGGACGACCAGCCACACUGGAACUGAGACACGGUCCAGACUCCUACGGGAGGCAGCAGUGGGGAAUUUUGGGCAAUGGGCGCAAGCCUGAUCCAGCAAUGCCGCGUGCAGGAUGAAGGCCUUCGGGUUGUAAACUGCUUUUGUACGGAACGAAACGGCCCUUUCUAAUACAGGGGGCUAAUGACGGUACCGUAAGAAUAAGCACCGGCUAACUACGUGCCAGCCGCCGCAGUAAAAC